rnacentral:rRNA from 1 species
AUUGAACGCUGGCGGCAGGCCUAACACAUGCAAGUCGAACGAGUGGCGGACGGGUGAGUAAUGUCUGGGAACCUGCCUGAUGGAGGGGUAUAACGGCGGGAAACGUUAGCUAAUACCGCAUACGAUGAGUUGUGCCCAGAUGGGAUUAGCUAGUUGGUGGGGUAACGGCUCACCAAGGCGCCGAUGCCUAGCUGGUCUGAGAGGCGGACCAGCCAAACUGGAACUGAGACACGGCCCAGACUCCUACGGGAGGCAGCAGUGGGGAAUAUUGCACAAUGGGCGCAAGCCUGAUGCAGCCAUGCCGCGUGUAUGAAGAAGGUCUUCGGGUUGUAAAGUACUUUCAGCGGGGAGGCGUUACCCGCAGAAGAAGCACCGGCUAACUCCGUGCCAGCAGCCGCGGUAAUUC